rnacentral:rRNA from 1 species
GACGAACCGUGCGAACGUUGUUCGGAAUCACUGGGCUUAAAGGGCGCGUAGGCGGACCACCCAGUCCGGGGUGAAAUCUUUCGGCUUAACCGGAAAAGGGCCUUGGAUACUGGUGGUCUCGAGGAAGGUAGGGGCAUGCGGAACUUCCGGUGGAGCGGUGAAAUGCGUUGAUAUCGGAAGGAACGCCGGUGGCGAAAGCGGCGUGCUGGACCUUUGCUGACGCUGAGGAGCGAAAGCGUGGGGAGCGAACAGG